AGGAUGAACGCUGGCGGUCUGCUUAACACAUGCAAGUCGAACGGAGUACCUCGGUACUUAGUGGCGGACGGGUGAGUAACGCGUGAGAAUCUGCCCUUAGGUCGGGGACAACCAUUGGAAACGAUGGCUAAUACCGGAUAAGCCGAGAGGUAAAAGAUUAAUUGCCUAGGGAAGAGCUCGCGUCUGAUUAGCUAGUUGGUGAGGUAAAGGCUCACCAAGGCAUCGAUCAGUAGCCGGCCUGAGAGGGCGACCGGCCACACUGGGACUGAGACACGGCCCAGACUCCUACGGGAGGCAGCAGUGGGGAAUAUUGCGCAAUGGGCGAAAGCCUGACGCAGCGACGCCGCGUGGGGGAUGAAGGCCUUCGGGUUGUAAACCCCUUUCAGCAGGGACGAAGCGAAAGUGACGGUACCUGCAGAAGAAGCGCCGGCUAACUACGUGCCAGCAGCCGC
rnacentral:rRNA from 1 species